rnacentral:rRNA from 1 species
AGAGUUUGAUCCUGGCUCAGGAUGAACGCUGACAGAAUGCUUAACACAUGCAAGUCAACUUGAAUUUGGGUUUUUAACUUAGGUUUGGGUGGCGGACGGGUGAGUAACGCGUAAAGAACUUGCCUCACAGCUAGGGACAACAUUUAGAAAUGAAUGCUAAUACCUGAUAUUAUGAUUUUAAGGCAUCUUAGAAUUAUGAAAGCUAUAAGCACUGUGAGAGAGCUUUGCGUCCCAUUAGCUAGUUGGAGAGGUAACAGCUCACCAAGGCGAUGAUGGGUAGCCGGCCUGAGAGGGUGAACGGCCACAAGGGGACUGAGACACGGCCCUUACUCCUACGGGAGGCAGCAGUGGGGAAUAUUGGACAAUGGACCAAGAGUCUGAUCCAGCAAUUCUGUGUGCACGAUGAAGUUUUUCGGAAUGUAAAGUGCUUUCAGUUGGGAAGAAAGAAAUGACGGUACCAACAGAAGAAGUGACGGCUAAAUACGUGCCAGCAGCCGCGGUAAUACGUAUGUCACGAGCGUUAUCCGGAUUUAUUGGGCGUAAAGCGCGUCUAGGUGGUUAUGUAAGUCUGAUGUGAAAAUGCAGGGCUCAACUCUGUAUUGCGUUGGAAACUGUAUAACUAGAGUACUGGAGAGGUAAGCGGAACUACAAGUGUAGAGGUGAAAUUCGUAGAUAUUUGUAGGAAUGCCGAUGGGGAAGCCAGCUUACUGGACAGAUACUGACGCUGAAGCGCGAAAGCGUGGGUAGCAAACAGGAUUAGAUACCCUGGUAGUCCACGCCGUAAACGAUGAUUACUAGGUGUUGGGGGUCGAACCUCAGCGCCCAAGCAAACGCGAUAAGUAAUCCGCCUGGGGAGUACGUACGCAAGUAUGAAACUCAAAGGAAUUGACGGGGACCCGCACAAGCGGUGGAGCAUGUGGUUUAAUUCGACGCAACGCGAGGAACCUUACCAGCGUUUGACAUCUUAGGAAUGAGAUAGAGAUAUUUCAGUGUCCCUUCGGGGAAACCUAAAGACAGGUGGUGCAUGGCUGUCGUCAGCUCGUGUCGUGAGAUGUUGGGUUAAGUCCCGCAACGAGCGCAACCC